AUUCUCUGGUUUUUCUUCAGAUCAUAUAAAUCUUUAGCCUUUAUUAAAGAUUUCCUUGGAGAGGAACACCAAAUUGGGUCACAACAAC
rfam:Egretta garzetta contig59751, whole genome shotgun sequence.